ACCGCAGCGCCGCCAUUCGGUAGAGCCUGAAACGCCUGUUUUAGGCACUUUUUCUCCCUGAAGACGGCCACUGGCCUAGGUACUGAGGAGAAGAACGCCCCUAGCUCCACUUGUCCCUAGCUUGAUCGGCAGCCAUAGGCCAUGCGCGCUUCACGCCGGUGUCAACCCACGCCAAAAAGCAACACAGCAAGAUGACCAAAGGAUGUACCACUUCAAGAUGGAAAUGGCUAUGUUCAAAGAUAUUUUAGAGAUGUACAACAAGGAAGAUAUUGGGAUUCUCGUUGCAUCGAUAUAUGCGAUCUGCAAUAGCAAUGUCCAAAGCUUAACGGGCACUUUCACGUAGAGAGCCUUCCUUAUUACAGCACUUAUUCGCAAAAUUCUUGCAGCAACAUGUUCACAUCAUACAAGUGCGCAUCUCUCCAUCAGAAAUUUUGGACCGCAAGGUUGUUUACUGCCACUUGAAGAAACACCAAAGCCUCCAACCCAAUAGACAGUAAACAAGAGUAAGGUAGCCAACAUAAGAA